GUGGGGAAUCUUCCGCAAUGGACGAAAGUCUGACGGAGCAACGCCGCGUGAGUGAAGAAGGUUUUCGGAUCGUAAAGCUCUUUCGUUAGGGACGAACGUGCUCUUUGUGAAUAAUGAGGAGUAAUGACGGUACCUAAAUAAGAAGCCACGGCUAACUACGUGCCAGCAGCCGCGGUAAUACGUAGGUGGCAAGCGUUGUCCGGAAUUAUUGGGCGUAAAGCGCGCGCAGGCGGGAUAUCAAGUCUGUCUUAAAAGUGCGAGGCUCAACCUCGUGAGGGGACAGAAACUGGUAUUCUUGAGUGUCGGAGAGGAAAGUGGAAUUCCAAGUGUAGCGGUGAAAUGCUUAGAGAUUUGGAAGAACACCAGUGGCGAAGUCGACUUUCUGGACGAUGUCUGACGCUGAGGCGCGAAAGCUAGGGGAGCGAACGGGAUUAGAAACCCUAGUAGUCC
rnacentral:rRNA from 1 species